GUCAUGUUAGUCGAGCGAGAAACCCGCUUCGGCGGGGAGUAAGCGGCAAACGGGUGAGUAACACGUGGGUAAACUGCCCUCGGGAGCGGGACAACGGCGGGUGCUUCGGCACCCCUUCGGCGAAAGCGCCGCUAAUACCGCAUGACGACACGGUGACAUCUACUUAUUCGUAAGCAGAUAGUCGCCGCGUUCAAUGGGCCGCCUGAGGUUCGCCUCAGCGGUCGCCCGAGGAUGUGCCCGCGGCCUAUCAGCUAGUUGGUGAGGUAACGGCCCACCAAGGCGAUGACGGGUAACCGGCGUGAGAGCGCGGCCGGUCACACUGGGACUGAGACAAGGCCCAGCGCCCUACGGGGUGCUGCAGUCAGGAAUCUUGCACAAUGAGCGAAAGCUCGAUGCAGCGACGCUGCGUGUGGGAAGAAGGCCUUCGGGUUGUAAACCACUGUUAGGGGUUAUGAAACCCAUGCGGAGAAAUCCGUGUGGUUGACAAAGGCCCCAGAGGAAGCGAUGGCUAACUCCGUGCCAGCAGCCGCGGUAAUACGGAGAUCGCAAGCGUUGUUCGGAAUCACUGGGCGUAAAGGGCACGUAGGCGGUCAGGUAAGUUGGGUGUGGAAUCGUCCGGCUCAACCGGGCAAUUGCGCCCAAAACUGCCCGACUCGAGCACGGUAGGGGGGAGUGGAACUUCUGGUGGAGCGGUGAAAUGCGUAGAUAUCAGAAGGAACGCCGGCGGCGAAGGCGACUCCCUGGGCCGUUGCUGACGCUGAGGUGCGAAAGCUAGGGGAGCAAACAGGAUUAGAUACCCUGGUAGUCCGUAAACGAUGGGCACUUGGUAGUGGCCUUACGGUCACUGCCGGAGCUAACGCGUUAAGUGCCCCGCCUGGGUAGUACGGCCGCAAGGCUAAAACUCAAAGUAAUUGACGGGUGCUCGCACAAGCGGUGGAGCACGCGCCUCAAUUCGAGGCUACGCGAGGAACCUUACCAGGGCUUGACAUGCAGGUGGUACGACCCUGAAAGGGGAAGGACCAUGGGUCAGCCAUGGAGCCUGCACAGGUGUUGCAUGGCUGUCGUCAGCUCGUGUCGUGAGAUGUUGGGUUAAGUCCCACAACGAGCGAAACCCCUGUCCUUAGUUGCUAACGGGUCAAGCCGAGGACUCUAAGGAGACCGCCGGCGUUAAGCCGGAGGAAGGUGGGGAUGACGUCAAGUCAUCAUGACCCUUACGCCCUGGGCCGGACGCAUGCUACAAUGGCCGGUACAAAGGGAUGCGAGACUGCAAAGUGGAGCGAAGCCCUAAAAGCCGGUCCCAGUUGGGAUCGGGGGCUGCAAUUCGCCCCCGUGAACUUGGAAUCGCUAGUAAUCGCGGAUCAGCCACGCCGCGGUGAAUACGUGCCCGAGCAUUGUACACACCGCCCGUCAAGCCAUGGAAGCUGGGAGCACGUGAAGUCGUGGGCUUAACCCGCAAGGGAGGGCCGCGCCCACCGUGAGCCCGGUGACUGGGACUAAGUCGUAACAAGGUA
rnacentral:rRNA from 1 species